UACGUAGGGACCAAGCGUUGUUCGGAUUUACUGGGCGUAAAGGGCGCGUAGGCGGCGUGUUAAGUCACUUGUGAAAUCUCUAAGCUUAACUUAGAACGGUCAAGUGAUACUGACGUGCUAGAGUGCAGAAGGGGCAACCGGAAUCUUGGUGUAGCGGUGAAAUGCGUAGAUAUCAAGAGGAACACCUGAGGUGAAGACGGGUUGCUGGGCUGACACUUGACGCUGGAGGCGCGAAAGCUAGGGUAGCAAACGGG
rnacentral:rRNA from 1 species